rnacentral:lncRNA from 1 species
UCCUAUAGAAUUUAAGGACGAGGUUGAUUCUGAAAGAUUAGGAUGAGAUUGAUAAUGUUUAAAUCCGCCUUAUUUUAAUCGUUGCCAUGUCUAUAAUUAUUAAUAGUGUAUAUAAAUAAAUGUAAUAUUUUAUAUAGGUUCCGAGUAUAUUUUGAGUUUCCACUUUUUUAUAUUUUUUAUUUUUAACCAUUUUAAUUAGAACAUAGGACUACCAAUUCUAUUCAAGAUUUCAUCAUUUUAAAAAAUGUUGGAUUUCUU